ACGCUGGCGGCGUGCCUAAUACAUGCAAGUAGAACGCUGAAGAGAGGAGCUUGCUCUUCUUGGAUGAGUUGCGAACGGGUGAGUAACGCGUAGGUAACCUGCCUUGUAGCGGGGGAUAACUAUUGGAAACGAUAGCUAAUACCGCAUAACAAUGGGUGACACAUGUCAUUUAUUUGAAAGGGGCAAUUGCUCCACUACAAGAUGGACCUGCGUUGUAUUAGCUAGUAGGUGAGGUAACGGCUCACCUAGGCGACGAUACAUAGCCGACCUGAGAGGGUGAUCGGCCACACUGGGACUGAGACACGGCCCAGACUCCUACGGGAGGCAGCAGUAGGGAAUCUUCGGCAAUGGGGGCAACCCUGACCGAGCAACGCCGCGUGAGUGAAGAAGGUUUUCGGAUCGUAAAGCUCUGUUGUAAGUCAAGAACGAGUGUGAGAGUGGAAAGUUCACACUGUGACGGUAGCUUACCAGAAAGGGACGGCUAACUACGUGCCAGCAGCCGCGGUAAUACGUAGGUCCCGAGCGUUGUCCGGAUUUAUUGGGCGUAAAGCGAGCGCAGGCGGUUUGAUAAGUCUGAAGUUAAAGGCUGUGGCUCAACCAUAGUUCGCUUUGGAAACUGUCAAACUUGAGUGCAGAAGGGGAGAGUGGAAUUCCAUGUGUAGCGGUGAAAUGCGUAGAUAUAUGGAGGAACACCGGUGGCGAAAGCGGCUCUCUGGUCUGUAACUGACGCUGAGGCUCGAAAGCGUGGGGAGCGAACAGGAUUAGAUACCCUGGUAGUCCACGCCGUAAACGAUGAGUGCUAGGUGUUGGAUCCUUUCCGGGAUUCAGUGCCGCAGCUAACGCAUUAAGCACUCCGCCUGGGGAGUACGACCGCAAGGUUGAAACUCAAAGGAAUUGACGGGGGCCCGCAC
rnacentral:rRNA from 1 species